UAUUGCACAAUGGGGGAAACCCUGAUGCAGCGACGCCGCGUGAGUGAAGGAGCGUUUCGGCGCGUAAAGCUCUAUCAGCAGGGAGGACAAACUGCCCCGGAAGGGGCAGCCGGACGGUACCUGACCACGAAGCCCCGGCUAACUACGUGCCAGCAGCCGCGGUAAUACGUAGGGGGCAAGCGUUAUCCGGACUUACUGGGUGUAAAGGGAGCGUAGACGGCAAGACAAGCCUGGAGUGAAAGGCGGGGGCCCAACCCCCGGACUGCUCUGGGAACUGUCUGGCUGGAGUGCAGGAGGGGUGAGUGGAAUUCCUAGUGUAGCGGUGAAAUGCGUAGAUAUUAGGAGGAACACCAGUGGCGAAGGCGGCUUACUGGACUGUAACUGACGUUGAGGCUCGAAAGCGUGGGGAGCAAACAGG
rnacentral:rRNA from 1 species